rnacentral:lncRNA from 1 species
CAAGAGCCCAAUAUUGAUAUAAGUCAGUAUCUUGGCUAAUAGUAACAGGGACCAACCCUUGCUUCUAUGCAUUUUGUUAGAAGCCAACACUCCAAAUUUAGAUUUCCAAUACAACCAUGCUAGCAUGGCAAAAUAAGAAGUCAGGAGGGAUGUUUUGAAGACAUUUUCAAGUGAUAUAUUUGAAGUGCAAUAUGUAGGAUGUAAUUUAUAAGCGGAGAAAACCAGCUUAAUUGGUUAUAUCUUGAAAACAAAAUUGCCAUUCCAUAAAAUCAUACAUGUUAGUAUAUAGCAUACAAACACCUGUAUGUUUAUAUUAUAUGAAUGUAUGUGCAUAUGUAUGCAUGUACAUAUACGAGUAAGCAGGUGUGUAAUGAUCUCGAACAAAAGAGAAAAAUGGAGUUCUAAAAAAUAAAAAUAAAAAAGAGAAAAAAAUGAUCUCAGAAGGCAGAAAUGAAACAAUAGAAAGUUUAAAAGUGUUCAAGUACUUGAACCGUGGGAAUAUGUUCCAAAGGAUACAGAAGUAAAGAAACCGUACCACCCAAAGAAAAUCUCAGCUAGCAUUACUCAUUGAAGGGGGUACAGUAGUGAUCCCCUUUCCCAUCCCAUCAGAGAGCCAUCCACUCCAUCCAUUAUGUCGAUCCAACGGCCAUUGCCACCUCCUCAUGAAAAAAAAAACGAGAAAUCUGGAUUUAUUCCCUCCAAAGUUUUCUAAUUAGGAAAAGGAAUCCCUGAUCACUUGCACACUUCCCAAGUUAUGAUUGGAAGCCAUACAUCCAUGAAAAAGAGAACUCCAUGCGACGACGAAACAAUCCGAUAGCUCUUGUCGUUCGCCACCUCUUGAGCCAAAGCAAAUAAAUAUUGAAAACCUGUGUUUGUGUGCAAUUAUAGGAACUCCAAGGAAGAACCUAAAACCAUGUAGCUCCAUGGGAUCUUUACCUAUCGGACACCUACUGUCAGUAUCACCUCCUCUAGAUCUCAUCUAAAUCUAGAGAGGGGAAAUAUAUAAUAUUUCUCUAGCAGAAGCUCCAUAGUUUGAAGUCUCCCUCCUCAUCCGACUCCUCCCAAGGAGAGAUCGACGGGUUGAUAAUUUGAUCCACAAAUAUCGGUGACUGGAAUGCUCCGAAGUCGACCCACCAUUCCUUUUCCAUGGUGCUCGCUACGCAGCUGCUCGAGCUGGUCGUCGUCGUCGUUGUGGAUGGAGAGUAUUGGGUGGUGUCGGAUGGCGAAGAUGGAGAUGAAGGGGAGGGAGGAGACGGCGAUGGGGUGAUCGCAGGGCUGAGCGUGGAGGUGGUGGGGGUGGCGGCGUUCGCAGCGGCAGCAGCGACUCUCUGGAUGGACUUUGGGGAGGUGACAGUAUUGGGAGGGUGGUAGGGGAGGGAGGUGGGGAAGUUGAGGGCGGCCGACGAGCCCCUGAGGCAGAGGAGGGCGGCGUCGUAGGCCCUCGCAGCGGCUUCAGGGGUGGAGUAGGAACCCAGCCAGAUCCUGGUCUUCUGGUGGGGUGCCCUGAUCUCUGAGACCCAGGAACCCCAGCUCCUCAUCCUCACUCCCUUGUAUGGCCUCUUCCUAAUACUUUCCACCCUUGGUUGGAGGUUGGUCAUGGUGGUGGUGGUCAUGGUGGUGCUGAGAAGCGGGAUGGAAGACUUGGGAGUAUGAAGGACUCUGCUGCUGCCGCUGCUCUUCACCAUGGAUGGAUGAUGAUGAUAACGCACUGCUGGAUUCUCCUGUUUGUCUACUUUUGCUCCCUUGCUCUUUCUAUGAUCUUAGUGGGAGAAGUGAAUGAGAUGGGUGGCCUAUUUAUAGGGGGGAGAAUGGUAGUGUUGAUUGCAUAAAUCUCCAGAAAGUUCUCCAAAAUUAGACAGCCAAUUACUCGAAAAUCACCCAAGCAUAUUUAAGGAAUUGCGAAGUAUAUUUUUAGAAUCUAUUAUCGUAAAUUUUCUUUUAAAGAAUUAACAAAGUAUAUUCUUGGAAUAUUUAUACAAUCUAUUAAAUCUCAUUGCAGGACAGGCAAGAAAUUCUUUACAACUUCAGUUUCUUUUCUUUAUGGUAUUAAAGCCUAUUAUUCCUUCUUGCCUACUGAAGUUCCUACAGACUCGUAUGGUUCGCAGAAAAAAAAAAUCACUGAAAUAUUUUUUUCUGAGAAGAUAAUUCCUGCGAAUAGGAUGCCUAAAAAAAAUAAUUGUGGCGGAUCAUAAAAAAGUGGUACAUCUUAGAGUGGCUUAUAUUUAGUUGAGCAUCUAUUUUUCUAAAAAAAAGUUGUAUGAUAUACCUAUUAUACCCUUAAUUAAACUAAAAACCUUAUCCAUGGAUUUUAAUGGCUUAAGAAACUUGCUAAUGCUCCGGCUGAACUUAUUUGGAUUCAGUCUUUACUCCAAAAAUUGGGUAUUGAUGCAUAUUCUUGAAAUCUAUUGCCAUAUAUUUUUAAUUAAAAGAUUCUCAAAGCAUGUUCUUGGGACAUUCGUAGAAUCUAUUAAAUCUUCAAGGUCGUGUAGCUACUUAGCAAAGGAUUUUCAAAACAUAUUCUUGAGUUCUAUUAUUGUAUAUUUUCAUACUUAUAUUUACUACCAUUGUAAGUAAUUGUACAAAAAUAUUAUAAAAGAAUAUACAAAUCUCCUCGUCUCUGAAGGUCCAGUAAGAAUUUCUUCACAACUCCUGUUUCUUUUCUUUUCUAUGGAUAACUCUUUGGUCCAAGGAGGGUACCAGAGAGAAAAAAAAAAGAGCAAUGGCCAUGUAUAUACGAGGCAGCAGGUCAAUUGAUAACAUUGGUGGCACAUAAGAAAAGUAUAUUUUUCUUGAAUUAGUGUCUACUUAAUUAAUGCUAUCCAAUGAUGGAACCACCUUUAUUUCGAGCAUCUUUUCUUUUAUGAAAAUUUUCGGCAUGGUAUAACUAUGUCAAUGUCUUCUUAAAAAUCUGAUUACGUGUGAUUCGGGCAGUAGCAUCAUAUAGUGACAUUUGCAUGUAAUGUGGCUCAGAUACGAGACGUUUGUCAGGUGCAACUUGGAAGCCAGUUGUCUCACAAUAAUCUAAUGUCAUGUAGCUAUGAAAAAUCCAAGCAUUGAGAAUUCAACAAGGUGGCAGCAUGAUGUUGAACCCCAAUUAUACCUAGCUCCUUUGGCAUGUUCUAGGGAGAGAUGACCAUAAUUAAAUAAAAUGCACAAGAAGUGCGCAUGAUGGCACCUUAAUGAAUCUCACACCAUUUGUUACAUCUUACAUUGCUUCAUUUUUUAAUCUAGUUAUAGAGAAAGAAGAAUAAUUUUGUCAAUCAUAACAUCUAGAUAAGAUUGCACAUAUAUAUAUAUAUAUAUAUAUAUAUAUAUANNNNNNNNNNNNNNNNNNNNCACAUAUAUAUAUAUAUAUAUAUAUAUAUAUAUACACCUUUCCACACUUGGUUCCACAUAACAAAGUAAUUAAGAAACUGCUUGGAAACUCACCUAUCCAGCUCAAGGAAGCGGACGAUCUCGAGAAGAUGAGAAAGUGGCUAGAUUACUGUUCUUAGUUAUAUACUAUUCUCUUCCCACUCUUUCUUUGAAUAUAUUCUAUACGUAUGUAGUAGGUACAAUUUCUAUAUCGUGUUCAUACAACCGAGCUGUAACUUACAUUGAUUCUUUUCGUCAGCAACAGUAAAUAUAUUGACGGUUUUUUACAUUUUAACUAAGCUUAAAUUAUGAGGGACAACUUCUUGCAUGGUGACAAUUAUCUAAUUAAUGCAUCGAACCAUAAUAAAUGUUAAAAUGCAGUGGACUGCAAUGUCCUUCAUUUGUAUUAUGAUGAAGAUAAGAUUAUUAGUUAUACGGCCUCGCUUUGGAAAUAAAAAUUAGAGAGAGAGAGAGAGAGAGAGAUGGCAUGAGAUUCCUUAAGGAAGCUUCGUGGAUUUGGGAGUGGGACGCUUUCAGGGGCUCAGCCGGGACGUUGAGAGAUGCGAUGCAUGCAGCCCAACAACUUCACUUAGCUGGAUCUCUUCUGGCCUGCAAAGCUCAAACCGCGUAAUGACUCAGCUCUCAGGAAAAGGACAUCUUUGUUGAAGGGAACUCGCAUAUUGGAGCCGGAUAACUAGGCAGCGGUUUGGGACUUCUUAUAUGGGAUUCAUUUCCAAGGAUGAUCUGCUAUGGAACUAUAGAUCUGGAUUUAAUGGCCCUCAACAUUCAUUCAUUCAUUCAUGCAUACAUACAUGUAUAUAUAGUCUCCAUCCAGAUCCGAUCAAAUCUACAUUAGACAACGAGAGUCUCACACGAUUCUCCAAAUUGUUAGAUAUAAUCUACUAUCUCUAAACUGCAUAUAUACCAACAAAAAAAAAACAUAUGAUUUAAAAUCUCUUAACCUAUGCAUCAUUUAAUCAAAAGAAAAUAUAAUUUAACAUUACUUAGACUGUUUACUUUUAGAUGCAUAGAUUAGAUAUCUCCAAAUCAUCCAAUUUUUAGUAUGUAAGUAGUUUAGAGAUAGUAAAUAACAUUCAACGACUCCGAUCAACCUAUAUCUGAUUAAAACUAUGUGGAAAUCCCCACGAGUGUAGCCCAAUCUCUCUCUCUCUCUNNNNNNNNNNNNNNNNNNNNNNNNNNNNNNNNNNNNNNNNNNNNNNNNNNNNNNNNNNNNNNNNNNNNNNNNNNNNNNNNNNNNNNNNNNNNNNNNNNNNNNNNNNNNNNNNNNNNNNNNNNNNNNNNNNNNNNNNNNNNNNNNNNNNNNNNNNNNNNNNNNNNNNNNNNNNNNNNNNNNNNNNNNNNNNNNNNNNNNNNNNNNNNNNNNNNNNNNNNNNNNNNNNNNNNNNNNNNNNNNNNNNNNNNNNNNNNNNNNNNNNNNNNNNNNNNNNNNNNNNNNNNNNNNNNNNNNNNNNNNNNNNNNNNNNNNNNNNNNNNNNNNNNNNNNNNNNNNNNNNNNNNNNNNNNNNNNNNNNNNNNNNNNNNNNNNNNNNNNNNNNNNNNNNNNNNNNNNNNNNNNNNNNNNNNNNNNNNNNNNNNNNNNNNNNNNNNNNNNNNNNNNNNNNNNNNNNNNNNNNNNNNNNNNNNNNNNNNNNNNNNNNNNNNNNNNNNNNNNNNNNNNNNNNNNNNNNNNNNNNNNNNNNNNNNNNNNNNNNNNNNNNNNNNNNNNNNNNNNNNNNNNNNNNNNNNNNNNNNNNNNNNNNNNNNNNNNNNNNNNNNNNNNNNNNNNNAUAUGGCUCCAAUUUGUGGGUCUCACCAGCAUCUCACAUGUUCUCUUUUUCGAUAAAAUCUCACACGCUUUUAAGGUUGCCAACUGCCCUUCUGAGCUCAUUUACGCGUACGCGUCUUGACUUGGGGGAAGCUCCAAAACGCUGGCUGCAGAGGCCACUGUAAUCUCACGCUGUCACACACCAAUUGCUCAUCAUGAAACCUUUUACUCUAUCAUACAACUUUACAACUGAUGUCAUGUGGUGCGAUAUAUUAUAAGGUUUAGCAUUUUAAUUUCGGCCCACGAUGGGAUUCUCUCCGUACCAGAUUUGCAAAAUAGAGCAUCACAUGGAUCGAACUCGGACACAAAAAAUAUCAAAUUUUAAAUAGGUCUGGCCAGAAGCUAGACUAAAAAUAAAUAGAGUUUAGUCUCGAGGCUAGCCUAUGAUCAGUGCUAGUGCAAAGUAGGCGAGCUUCAGCGAGCCAAGCUACCUCAAACUCUGAUUAUAUUUACAACCAGAUGCAGUUCAUGCUGACAUACUUCAUUUUAAAUUAAACUCACAUCUUAAAUUGCUCGUGUCUAGCUCCUCUAAGUAAUUAGAUUGAAGUCUAAAGAUCUCUCAAUCUUGAAAUCAAGACAUUAUUUUAUAAAAUUAUUUUAACUUUCAAUUAAUAAAUAUAAAUAGUAUUUUAUUAAUAAAUAGAAUAAUAUUUAUUUUAUUUAUUGAUAUUUUGAGUUUAAUCAAACUGAGCUUGAACAAGCAAAACAUUUGUCUAGUUUGGUUGAUAUACUUAUUGAGCGAGCGGAACUCAAGCCACAAACUUGACCUGGGAGAUGUAUAUAGGUUAUAGGUUAGAUAUGAGUCAUAUGAGGGUGUUAAGAAUCGGCUUGUUUAUUCCUUAAAUCUUUUCUAGGCUCGGGAAGGUCCUCAUCUGCGUCCUCUCUAGAGUAGAGCUAAUCAUGGGCUAAAUUUGGGCACAAAAAAUAAUAAAUUUUAAAUAGAUCCGGCUCGAAGUCCGAGUAAAAAUAAAUAAAAUUUAGAUCUGAGGCCCGGGGUCUACAAUCAACUCUACUCCAAAGUUCAUUUAGAACAGUAUCUUCAAACCUUGCUGCUAUCUCUCUCUCUCUCUGUCUCUCUGUCUCUCUCUCCCCUCCUGACUCUUUAUUAUAUGACUGAAGACUGUGAUAAGAAAAGCUUCACAUUAUAUAUGACACCAUGCGCUACCUGAUAGAAUCAUUAAAAUAAGGGAGCUGUCUGGAAUGGACAGCAGAACAAUGGGUGAUCCAAUAGUUAAUCAUCCUUGAUAUCUGGGCAGACUUAGGAGAUUAGCUCACUGUGUUUUUUUGUUGGGAAGUCGAAAGAAGGCUUCUCUCAAACUACAUAACAAUGCAUAGAUCAUUGAGUCAAUUAAGGAGGCACUGUCAAUUGGUCACUCAAGUAUGACUGUCAUCCAGUCAUCGCAUGUCUGAAAUAUGGUUUCCUUGAGACUAUACUUGACAUGCCUUAAAUUGGCCUCAGACUCAUUUCUAGCCCGAAUUACUCAAAUAGAUUUCACAAAUUAUCACUCUUAAUCAUGUGUAUUCUUUUUAUUAAUGUGUAUUUUUCCAAUUUAAAAAGGAGCUUACAAUGUCAAUGUACAUCUGUAUUAAAUUCUUCUUCUCUCUUCAUCUUACUUCAUAAAGAUGGCUUUGGUGCUACUGCUAGUAAACUCCUUUUUGCACAGCAUACAUAAUUGUUAGCAGUAGCAUUGCAGCUUUUAAUACGCCAUUUCAUGCACUCUCUCUUCACUAAUAACCUUAUUGCAAGUCCCUAAAAAAUAUUAUCAGUAGCUAGACUUUGGAUAUUACCAAAUGUGCAUCACCUUAAAAAUAGCUUUUCUCAUUUCUAAAUGCAGUGUAUUUCCUUUGUGAAUAAUAAUUGUGGUGUAUAACAUUGUUGAUGCUAGAAAGAGUCACACUCCAAGAAUUAAGCAUAUUAGUAAACAUUUCCAAAAUAAUAGAGGGCCCCCUAGCAAUUGUUACCUUCAUUUCUUUUCUGUUGGUGUAGUACUUUCAAGAAAGCAGGGGGAGGGACAGGAGGGGGUUGGUGAGUAGAGAGCUCCAAGUGGAUGUUCUUAAAACAAAACGCCAAACACAUAUAAUAUGGGACAAAUGAUCUCAUCACUAUAGUCUUAUUAUAAUAAGGUAAACCACUUAUGUUGCAACAAGAAAUAAUUUAAUUUUGUUAUGAUAUUAUUAGCUUUCGAGACUCGUAGCCAAGUAUGAACACUCUCGGCCAACUUUCUCACAGAAAACUUGCAUGUGCUUGUAUUAUAAGAAGAUCUCAGACCUGAUCUCCUUGUAGAACGUUACUGGUCGGAGUUAAUGUUUUGGUGGCCAAAGAUGUAAUGUUCUUCUUCUUUUUUUAAAGAAAAAAGAUUAAAGUGAAAACUGAUAUUUUUUAAUGAUAAUUAGGGUGCUAAUUAGUUGAGUUACAAGAGAUCUAGUUUCCAUCAGACUCUUCAAUUUUGAGUCAACUUUCUCUGAUUUGAAGAAGUUAUGAUUUUCCAAACAAUGAAACAGACUUCCAGAAGAGAUUAGUGAGCUCUAAAGACCAUCUAAGCAUGCAUGUUAAGCAUCUUAACUUUAUUAUGCUCUCAAUCCUUAAUAAUUUCCCUAAUACAACGCUGCAGCUGCACUAGUUAACAAACAUUAGGAAUCAAUUACUGCUUAGAUUCAGCUAAGCUUGGGACACAUCUACCGUCCAGCGCCUGUUGGGACCAGUACCAGACUUAUUUAAUAACAUCUUUUAACCCCUGAUAUCAUCCAUACCGAAGUAGGGAUGGCUAUGAGUUGUAUAUCCACAGAUGACAAGAUUAGCCCUCAUCAUAAGAGGAUAUGGGCAUCUGGAUGAUAGGCGACCAGAUCUUGGUGGGCAUGCGCCCCUUAAUCUCAGCUCAUGGGAUGUCUCAUAUUCCAUUAGUCAUUAUUCUUUAAUGUCUGGAUUUGUAUGAAAGUUUCAGAUAUAUUCUUCUGAAAGGCACCUUCAUGAUCUGUGUGAGGAAUCUAAUUGCGUGAUAGUUUUUUUGAACAGAUGACAACUGAGAUAGUAAAUUCUAAGAGCUUGUUCAAAUAUUUAAUACAGUAGCAUACACCAACAUUAUGGUAGGAAAGCAGGUGGGGAGGAGGAUUUGAUGCCUGUGAGGGAGUGUCUCACACAUACCCAACAUGGCUCAAAGACUCUCCACCAUCCGCCCAUCCUUCUCUUUUAGUAUGUUCUAAUACCCACAUAUAUUAUGUUUCUAUUCUUUAACACAUACGAGUGAGUCAAAACCUAUGUUGCAGGAGAAGUCAUGAAACUAAGAAAAUAGAAACAAACAAAAAGAAGCAGAAAUUAGUCAUUGCGACGGGCAAAAACUUGCAUUAAGAAAAAAAUAAAUCAAUAUAAAACAUAGUAAAUAUCCUAGGAAAUAAGAGUUUCCUCACAACUCAUUUAUAUCAUCACUAGUUGAAAAUUUUAAGAAUAUGAACCCAAAGAAUUGGCAUUUGAAAUCACAGUUGGCUGUUUAAUGCACUUCAGUAGAACAUGUCCGAGCAGAUAAUAUCGUAUCAUCCAAAGAGAAACAUAAGGUCCACCAUUUUAUUAGCUGAUGUAAAGAGAUGAGCAAACAUACGGAUAGGCAUGCACUGAAAGAUUUCAUAGCAAUCUCAAGCAAGGAAUUUCCAACCACGAGGGACAGCUUAUCUGAAGGUCAAUAGUAAGUACGGUGACCUAAUCUACAUAUUUCUAGCCGUCUAGUCUUUUAACAGAAACAUUACGAAUCUAUCUUGCUUUUCAAAUAACUUAAGCGUUUUAUGGCUCCAAAAAAAAAAAAACUCAACAACAUUUUGCUAGUUCUUGCAAUAAUAGUUAAAAUUAGAUCAAAAGUCAGGAUCUAUUAGUUUAACAAUUUUUUAAGUAGUAUGUUAUCAUUAUUAUGAGAUCUUGAUACAAUGUCUACUCCUUAAUGAUGUGGUUACUUCAUUAUUAUGAUAUCUCCAAUCUAUUGAUAAUUUUGGAUGACUUUCGCCAAACUAACUAUGCUCUGAUAUGCCCUGGCAUUUUCUUUCAGAGAGGAGCCUUUACAUGACUUUGAGUGAAAACAUAUAAUAUAAGAGUACCCUCAAUCGCUAAAAAUUCAAUCACAAUGUUGCCACCAUGUUCACAUUGAAACACGCAAAGCAUUUGAUGGUCUGAUCUUUAAACAUACCAUAUUAAACAUACCAAGACCAAUGGUAAAAGAAACAUCACCAAUUCUUCAUACCAAGCAGUAUGAUUUCAUAUCCCAUGAAAGCAAGAUGGUAAACAAGCAACAAUCUGCCAUGGGAACCCCUUCAAUAGAACUUUGUUUUCAAGAAAAUGCAAAGUUCCGGAUUGAGUUAUUAAUAACCACUUUGUAUUUGGUCAGGAUAACAUGAGUGGAUCCGAUAAUAAAACUAAUCAUCUGUUUUUCUGGAAACAAAGACAGCCCACGCCGCUAGCAAUCCUAGAAAACCGAAUAUGCAACAUUAAGCAGUAGCCAUAGAAUGUCAAUCUAAAGAUGGAUCAUGUUCUAAGAGCUCAAUGAUUGUAAGUUCAGAUGCCUUCUCUAGGUCCAAAUAACUAAUAACAGCCUAACCAUCAAGUUGGGUCAUUGGUGACCUAUUAGCUGCUCCAUGUAGAACCAUUACAAACUUAUCAUUGUCUACUUGCAAUAAUUAAGAACUGUUAAGUUACAAAACCUGCCUUGCUACUGGGACAAAUAUCUCAAAUAUUAGUUUACAGAUUUCCAAUUCAUCAGACAAAGUUGUUAUGGCUUCCUAACUAAAAAGCAGCUCUCAUGAUAUAUUUUGAAGUUGCCCCAGAGGACACAGCCAAUCACUUAUAUCACAUGCUUAGAUGCAAGUAUGAGUAGGUGUCUUCUCAAUUAACGACUAGGGAUAGCAAACUUCUCCAAAUGUAUAAUUUCUUAUGCAGGUAGGAGUCCCAUUAAAUUUAUACAAUUGUUUCAUCCAUGGUCUGCCGAACCGGCCGGUACGGGCGGUCCGGCCUCCGACCGGUACCGGAUCAGNNNNNNNNNNNNNNNNNNCAUGGAAUCCGGUACCGGUACUGGUACGAGACCGGUACGGAAUCGGUACAGAUCGGUAUGAGACCGGCGUGGAUCAGCGUUGAAUCCGGAACCAGUACGGAACCGGUACUGUACCGGUCCAGGCCGCCACCGGUACCAGUACGGCGGACCUUGGUUUCAUCAAUAGUGUGAUAAGAAAAAUACAUGACAUAAAACCAACUAUUGAGUAGUAACAUUGACCCAUAUCCUAUUUUUACCAUAAUAAAUCAGGCUAGAUCAUAUUUUGCAAUGGUUAAGUCUGCAUUAGUAUGACGUUUGAGAAGCUGAGGAUGCCCUGCAGGAAAGCAAUCUCCAAGUGUGCGUAUGUCACUGCUAGUAAGUAAACCAAGUGAUACAAAGAAUCAGCAAAAUAGACAAAAAAUGAGCAUUUUGGGAUUGCAGUCUCAAGAUUUGCCCACAAGUAUAUCUCAGUUACAUACAUGAUUACUUUCAAAAAUAGCCUGAUUUUUUAUAAAAAGCAGAUCUAAUUCAUGCUUUCUGCUUUUCGUGAUAUAACAACGUGUCAUUCUCAGGUAGAUAGUAGAUAUAGAUCCAUCUAAAGCCAAUGGGUUUCCCUAAACCAUCAUACGGAAAGACUUUUAAUUUUUGAGAGAGAGUUAAGUUAGGUAAGACUCAAUUUUAUCAAAUGUCCUGGUUCAGUUAUAAGAAUCGAUACGACAUCACAAUUAGUACAGGAUUGCUCAUCAAUUAUCUUUUUAAACCACUACGGUUCUAAAAAUUGAUGUAUCGUCAUUUUAAAGUAUAGAAUUAUAUAUCAAUUACCUUCUAAUCACAAUAAGUGCAGCCUUCUGAAUUCUUUGUGAAAAUAUGUAGGCAUUUUUUUUAAGAGAUACCAUGGUUUACUUGGCAUGUACACCAUCCAUUUCACAUACACAUGCAUAAAUGUCAUUAAGGACCUAAAAGGUUGUGCUGUAUGUAGGGUCGACGACUUAGAGGAUGUAAAAUGCAACAAUAUCUUCCCCCUCUGAUGUGAUAAAAACUGAAAUCAUAGGAACAGUCAAGACAGAGAUCCAAAGUCAGAAUUAUUAGUAAGAAAUUUAAACUAGGUCAAAGUAAGUUUGGUAAAUUGACAAGUCGAUGACUAAGGCAAAGUGAUCGUUGCACGAUAUCAAGGUAAGGAAAGGUAAAAAUCCAUGAAGAUUGGAGUGUCCAGCUCUUGACAUUUGCCAAUGUGGGNNNNNNNNNNNNNNNNNNNNNNNNNNNNNNNNNNNNNNNNNNNNNNNNNNNNNNNNNNNNNNNNNNNNNNNNNNNNNNNNNNNNNNNNNNNNNNNNNNNNNNNNNNNNNNNNNNNNNNNNNNNNNNNNNNNNNNNNNNNNNNNNNNNNNNNNNNNNNNNNNNNNNNNNNNNNNNNNNNNNNNNNNACUCCUGAUGGAGACACAGAUCUUUUUACACCUUGUCCUUGAGAGAGAAAGUUGCAAGCAUUUAGAUUUUAGAAAUUGAAUAUAUGAAUCAAAUAAAAACAAAGCGACCCUUACUUGAAUUUCUGGCUUAUACCCCUCUAUAGCAACACUAGGCCUCUGUCCUCUAUUUGAUGUUACUAAAUUUAGAAAUUGGAAAAACAGAUGACUAAGUGAUUUGAAUUAAGAUCGAAGAAUUUGUUUCUGGUUAUGGUUUUGGAGGAUGAUAGAUUUGAUUUGAGGUGUUUACUAGAAUUUAGAUAUAACCAUAGGCAAAUAGGAAGCACGGCGACCCCUACUUGAAUCUCUGGCUUAUACCCUUUACAAGAACACUAGGCCUCUGUCCUAUAUUUGAUGUUUCCAGAGUUAGAGAUUUGGAGGAAGCUCGGAUGACUUAGGGAUUUGAAUCAAGAUGGAAGAAUUUGUUAGGGUUAUGGGUUUUGGAGGAUGAAAGAUUUGAUUCGAGGUGUUGACUGGAGUUUAGAUAUAAAACAAUAUUCAAAAUGUUUUCUUUCUAUUCUACUAACAAGCUGAAAAAAGAAAGAAAGAAAGAAGCGGGAUUAAUGGAUUAAUAAUCAUACUGAAGAUUAAUGGAUCCAUGGUGAAGAAACGAGAAACCAAGAGGGAAAAGAGAUCCAAAAUCGCAUUUUUUUCACACCAUAAAAAAAAAAAUCGCAUCUUUUUACUUAUAAUGAUGGAUUCACGGUUCAAAUUUUCAUUCGCGAUUAUGGUAACAAUUUUACAAAAAGAGAUUAAUAUCUGGGCAUCAUAUUCUUGUAGAAUUAAUGAUGGAAACGAGAAAUGCAGGUGGAGAAAGAUGCCAAGAUCGUAGCUUUUUACGCAAUAUAGCUUAACUGCUUAAGGGAAUGGAAUGGAUGGAUAUACCCUGGCGGAGAUGGAGGCGGUGCCGUGGGAGUCGUCCGCUCAGACCACGGUGUAGUCGGCCAGGAUGAGGACGUUGGCGUGCAUCUCCUCCGACACGCACUUGGUCCCCGAAGGCGGGAGGCUCCGUCACACCGCCGCCGCGCGCAGCGGCGGCGCCAGCAGCCGCGCAGCGGAGAAUAGCAGCAGCACGAAGUCUGCUCGCCGGAGCACGGCACCCUUCCCCGUCCCCAUCCCUCUCCUCAUUGUCGACUUCUCCACCUAUGUUUUGGUCGCCGAACACAGGAUACGGCACCGGCCGGACUCUCGACGGCUCGACGCUAUUUCCGGGCAAAGCGAUGCGAGCGAAGGCCCCACAAGUAAUUGGCUCAAAUAGGCGGACCCGAGUAAACCCAAACCUCAUUGGUUGAGGUGAACUCAAUUGCAUUCUGGUGGCAAUGGUUGGGGUUUGGUUUAGACUGGAUCAAGGCACGGGCACUUAAACAACAUCCUUCAAUUUAAACCUUGGCAAUUUAAAUAAAAUCAAAAAUUCAAAUCCAAAGCCAUCAUAUUGAUUAAAUAGAUGGCCCAACACCUCAACCAUAAUCUUUUAAUAAAUAUAUAGGUCAAAUUAGGUUAUACAAGUUAAACGAACUUUAGAUGGGUUGGGUUGCAAUCAAGUUGAUCCAACCUAAUUAUUAAAUGUGCCGAAAUAAGUCAAAUAGGAUAGGACUCUAAACUCGAACCGGCUCACUUUAUAGGUGGAUAAUAGUCAGGUCAACUUAUUUAAUUACAACCAACAAGUCUACUUAUUUCAAGUCUGUCGAGUUAGCAUAUUAGAUCAUAAAUUGUCAUCCUAUGUUAACUUAAGUGCUAUAUAUCUUUUCUUUUAAUUUUUAUUUUUCUUCUAAUUGAAUAGUGCACCAUCUUGUACAUGUCUCUCUAGAUCAUGUCUUAGAGUGAAUUUAAUUGAAGUGUCGGUCUCUUGGAUGUCCGUUAUAGGUUGUCGUGCCAUCAUUUUAUUUUGGUGAAUUAUUUGGUAAUUUGAUGUGUCAUUUUGGUUCUAGAGGUAGGGUAGGGUCACACGACAGAUAGUGAUUGAUCUCAGCAUAUGAAGAUAUUUUUGUUAAGAUCCGAUAGUUUGUAUAGUUAGAAGAACUAUGAUUCCUAGUUGCUUCACUUUAGUUGCUUGCCCAGGCAGUCAACUUGCAUUGGUUAGUGAUUUUUUAUUAAGCUUUCAGGGCUUGUUUGAACGAGGGAUGAUGCAAUCCAUGCAUAGCUUUCUAUUCACAGGAACAAGUGAAGAAUUCGAUAAAUCACCCAAACUAGAAGCAGAGUUUGAUUUCAUCAUCAAGCCUUUAACAAGCAAAAUGAGUUUCUCACUCCUAAACUUUACCGGAUUUAUGGUCAAAAUUUUAAGCACAAUUAGCUUAGAGCAAACAAAGAAAUCGAAGAAAACAUAAAUAACUCUGGUUGUUUUCUAUGGAAGUCACCAAUAUUCUGACGCUGCCUAUCACCAUAAAAAAGCUUAAUGCUAUUUAUACUUUAUAUUGAGCUAUAUGAUACUUUCAAUUCAUUCUCAUGCGACCCGCAUCCGAAUAAAAGAAAACAAGAUUACCUACUUAAUCCAAAGAAAAUAUGAACCAUUAAUCACAAUAGAGUUACAAUCCCACGACUAUCACGAUCGUCCAUCCUAUAUAUCACAUGUGCUAGUGCAAAAUAUUUUGACCAAAUACAUGUGAAAUGCCUCCUAAAAUCAUCAUGCUGACUUUGAUUUUUUUCCGCCCUUAUAGAUAGCGUAAGAAGGCAUCCGACUCUAGUGCUGCUUUCUUAUCUUGGGACCGACCAUCUUGGUCUGAACUCUUGUUACCUGAACCAUAAGGAACAAAUUCCAGGCACAUCAGCACCUAUGCGCCCUGAAUCACUAAAACAAGUGCUCAUUUCUUCAUCUCUGUGAACUGGAUUCACCAAAAAAGUAAAAGCAAUCAUAAAGUAGUGUUCCAUGCCAUUCAUUGGAAGUUCUACUACUUUGCAGCAGCAAUCCCAUUUGCAUGGUGCAACGAACUUUUAAGGAGGAUAUUCUAUGGAGAAAGGUGAAGGCUCAACACCUCUGAAAGGAGAAAAAGAUGGCGGGACCAACAACGAGAAUGAUUGAGAUGAUGCACGCAAAUUAGCUUAAAGUACUGUUGCAUUGAGAUGAUAACCUUUAGCCAUGCACGCAAUAUUUUAUCAUAAUUUAUUCAUUUUUGUACAUUUUUGACACCAAGUUGCAUCCGGUCCAUUUCCUUCCCAAAUCAUGCAUAAAGUGCGAGCACUCAACAGCUGAAGGCUCCAUUACAUAAUUAAGAAAGUGACAGCAUAUUCUACUAGUUGCGUAAAGAAAAUGGAGCUAAAUUCUUCAAGGAAUCUCUGCAACAGUGGCAUGGUCGGCAGAAUUAGAUUUAAUGGCGUCGGUCUCAGAUAUCGGUAGCUCGAGCACCCCUAAUUUAUUCUCGUUAUCGUCCGAGGAUUUGGCCAGGUGAUCCUCGCUCUUACCCCAUAUGAGAGAGUAGAGACCAAUAACUAUGAUAGUUGCUCCAACCACCCUAUCAAGUUCAGAGAAGUCAGUGUAUAACCAAACUCUAUAUCACUAUAUAUAGCUGCUAUGAGAUAACAAGAACUCACUCAUACCUUCCUAAAGUGAUCUCCUCUGCUAAAAUGAUGGAGCCCAGAAUAGCUACUAUUAUCAUGCAAAGAGGGUUGAAUGCAGUCACGAAGACAGGGCCCCUUUCUUUCAUCACUAUUCCUUGAACAAAAUAUGCGAUCCCGGAGCACAUUAUUCCCUGCAUUAGAAUCAGUUCAAUUGAUAAAAGUUAUUAGCUCAGGAACAUAAAUACCGGCAUAAGUUUGGUCUGUUCCUAUGAUUUAGAUGCUUCAACAUCUAUAAUUAUCUCAAACAAAGAUCCCAUUGUAAGAAGCAUCUCACGGAGUAAGCAGCCGUUAGGAGUCUCAGGUCAAAUCCUAUCAACCAUGGCUUGGCAGUAUGCUCCAUUACGAGACCAACUGCACCACUUUGCACCAUACCCAUGACGCAUAUCCAGGCGGUCAAGGAAAGCUCUGCCGGAUAGGACUUCAAUGUAUGCGACUGAACCAAAGAAUCAACCAUCAUGGUGAAUUAGUCACCUAGAGAUGUCUACUUUUCUUCUGUGAUUGAAACAUAUAUAAGGCAUUAUUCGAGCUUCAAUUCUGGUGAUGAAAGAGCAUUACUUGUAGCAGAAAGAAAGCAGACCAACAGAAGCAGCUCCACAGUAGCAUAAACACGCCCUCAAGCCAAUGCUUAUCAUCUUGGUUGCCAGUGUUAUUGUUGUGGUGGCUCCGUCGACCCUCUGUCCAUACAAAGUCCACCACCGGUCCUUUGUAUAGUAUCAUGAGCAAUGCACCCACCAGAGUCACCAGAGUCCCAGCAAUCUUGGCUUGGCUGCGCCGUUUCUUGAUAUCUAUUUUCUCCAUUCUAAUCACACAAUGAAACAUAGUUAGCCUGCGGAACUUAGUUUAUAAUUGCGCGAAAAGUUUUGCUUAAGAUAUUUCGAUAGAGAUGGUUGAAGCUAUUACCUGAGAAGAACGGCGUUGACGAAGGUCAUCGCAGGAAGUAUGUUGUAGAAGGCAGAUGAGAAGCUUGCAUUCGUGUUCUUGGUCCCCAUGUAAUAAAAAUUUUGGUCGAGCACAGGCCUAGCAUGGAAGAUGAGGCACAGCAUUAAGGAAGAAGAAGUUGAUUUUUACGAAGUUUGAUCUAAUUAAUUACAUAGAACUUUGGUGGGUGAGUAGAUGAGUACUCUAGUAGUGCUAAAGCCAUUAUCUUGAGGAAGUUGCAGAGUGUCAUCUUUGGCCUCGCUUUCCUGUUGAAGAGAAGAGAGGGACAUGUUGGCCGAAAGAAGAAGAAAGAGACAUGCAUGCAAUUAGCUAGUAAUGCUGCUCAAGUGUUAAAGAGGGCUGUUUUUAAACUAGAACAUUAGAGGAUGGGAUGUGCUCGUAUGUAUACAACGCCCACAAUUAAGUUGUCUCCAUCACCAUUGCAUCAUGGAUUCAUGGGUGUAAUAGUUUGUAGUAUUGCGUUGGUGCAUAAGAGGUUCCACAAAUAAAAGAACUAAGGGUGCAUGGAUCAGACGGACCUUGUGACUCUAAACUCACGCCAUGAUCCAACCAAUCUGGAUUAGACCUGUCUCCUCGAUCUGGCUUUGGUUUCGUGGGUGAGCACAUCAAAUUCGGUGGUGCACAUUUCUUCGUGCUUGGGGUGAAAAAUGGACUGACCAAUCUGCGAACUGGACCCUGAUAGAGGUGCCAGGGUGUUUUUCUUUUGUUUUCUUGAGGGAAGAUUAAUUUGGUUAAGCUUUGGCUUACACUAUGUCAGCUUUGGUUCUAAUGACCUUGAGAAUGAAACUUUUUUUUCCAAAGUAAAUUGAGAAAGCAACUUGUUACUUUGACUGACCUAGUAUUUUAUGUAACAAUCUUUUUUUCGUAAAAAUUAUAAAUUCUUGUGCAUAUGUAUGGGCUUUUGCACGACCAAGGAAAAUAAUUAUAAAUGUUUCACUUUAGCUUAGCAUGAUGUAAAUGUAGAGAGGAAAUUGGUAUAGGUUCAUUUUUAUUGUUUAAUAAAGUUUAAAAGAAGAAAAAUUAUUUUUGAAUCCAAUGAUGUGGAGACUAUGAGAAAGAUUUAAGAUUCAAAUGAAAUUCAAGGAAGCUUGGGUUUAAGACCCACGAUUUCACCCAAAAAGACUAGUUGAAAGAUGUUAUUUGGAUUCCUGAGCUCUAUAUAAGUACUCAAGAUCUAUCUAAUGUAUAAACGAUGUGGGACUAAAUAUAUACAUGCAUAAGUCUUCGUAUACUCUUACCGUUUAAGUUAUAGCAUUCUCGUCAGGCUAAAAGGUCCAAAUUCAGUUAAAUCUAAUCAUAAACAUCAAAUUGACCUAAAGUCGGCCCCACAAAAUAUAAUGCUGCAGUGUCCACUAAUUCAUAUGGGUUAUAAGUCAUGUCUGCAUUGAUAUUAUUAGAAACGACCCAAAAUCUUACCCAGUAAAACAAGCUAUGCAUAAAUAUCCAAACUCUAUACGUAGAAUAGUCAACAUGCAUGGGAAUUCAUGUUAAGAAUAUGCCUGGGUAUGACAGGCCCUUUUGACAAUAUUCUCUUCAUAGAAUUAAGUUUUUGCUUGUCUCUUGGGCUGGUACUAUAAACAAGAAGAGGGGAAAAAAAAGGAAUUGUCGCUCUUUUUAAUUUCUUCAUGAUUCAAUUUUUCUUGGGUACUUUUCGGUGGUCCUUGAUUGUGGGAUCACCCUAAGUCUAGGCUCUUCUUUUUUCUUUCACUUUUUUAAAUUGGCAUGGCAUCAUAAUUCCUUAAUUUUGGAAUGCUUAAUAUUUUAUGAUGGUGCUGAUCCAACUAUCUAUUGGAUUUUUGCUUUUUCUUCAAUGGAGCAAGUGGAACUGUCACCUCUAUAUCACGUAAAAAGAAAAGAAUAGACAAGACAAGAUACGAGGGGGGAGAAACAGAAAAAGAGCUUUCCAGCAUUUACCUGGCUAAUGAAGGGCCAAAAAGAAAAUUUUACCUCGAGCCAAGCUUCCACGUGGUAACACUUAAAUGGUUACUUGAGUCGAGCUUGGAGAAAGUUUCUUAAACUUUAGAUGCGGAGCAAUUAUACCAUGCACCAGGAGCACCACAUCAUCAGAACCCAAAGAGAAUGAAAAAUCUGAUUGGUGUGGUGCACCACGAAGAUGCUGCAAGUCUAGGUCAAGCCUUGACCGGUAGAAACAGGCCCUUUCUUCUUUUUUUUUCUGAGUGGUGACGUAGUUCUAGCUAGAGUCCAACGGGCACCUUCCAUUUUCCUUACUUGUAUCACGACCAAAGUGGUACAUCAAACCAGAUGAAUGGCUUAUCUAAUCUAAUUCAUGACAUGCAUGCAUGUAUUUAUGCAAGUCAUGCCAAUCCUCAGUGCCUACCGGUAACUCUUUCAGAUUCUACGUACUCUAUAUCAUGAGAAUCAUGGUGGAAGUAAACACCAGAGCUAAGACAGAGGGAGGGGGGAGAGAGACCUCUCGAACCACAACGCGAAUGGGGCGAUGAAGGCCGCUGCGAUGGCAUUGCGAUACACCACGAGCACGUAAUGGCUCAUGCCUUGCUUGAGCGUUGCGACCGAGAUCACGUACAUCCCGGCAUACCCAAACUGCAAGAAGACCAUAGCCAAGUAUGGCUUCACCCUGCUCCAAACCCCACCAAACGACAUCCUAUAUAUCUAUCUCCUCAACACCCUUCUCUCCUAACUCCAAUCUCUUAUGGGACUCAAAGCUAAAUGCAGCCUUAUAUAUAUAUACAGCUGAAAAUCAGAUCGCCGCCCUAUGGACCACAGUAGGAACAAUAGUUUUCAAGGGGUGGGGGGGUCUCUCCUAGAUUCCAUUAUUAUCCAUGGACAACAGGAAAGGAGCCCAUUUUCCAAGGACUCUCAGAGGUGAGGUCUGUAAGGUCCACAAUCUUCUCAAGUGAUGUGGUCAAAAGAAAGCUAGCUUUAAGAGGAUGUGGAGAGCUUUCUAUCCAUUCUUUUGGAGUCUUAAUAAAUGAAAAGUAUUGGUGAGUGACAGAUUAAAGGACUGUCUAAUGGAAACAAGGAUUAGUGCAUGCUGAUGAAGGCAGUGCAACUCGAUGCACUCAUCUUAGGAUUUUGAGGUUUUCCUCUUUUUUUUUCCCGGUGCAUGAUCCAUUCCAAUGCAUGCACUUGAUAUAUAGUUGCUUUACCUCAAUCAUGUAGCAAAUAGGAAUCUCUGGAGUUUGACGUAAAUCAUGUGCUGGCCCAAUGACAGAAGUGCAAGGUUCUGCUACGUAGCAUUCGAUUGUAACCUAUGCCUUUAGUUAUAGAGGCCGAUUAAAGCAAAGAGAAGGAAACGGGGCUGCUUAAACCUCCUCAGCUUUUGGUAAAUUGACGUGCGACAAAAUUUUUUGUUUUUGCGACUCAGAUGCUUUUAAAUAUUCAAACAAGUGUACAUCUACGUGAAUCCAAAAAACUUAAAAAAUUGAACAAAAAUAUCUACCGAAGAAAUUCAUAAAAUAGAUUCGAUUGGCUGCACUAUUAGCUUCCACUUAGAUUAUAAAGGAGACUUAAAAGCUAGGACACGUACUAAUUAAGAGUUUUAGCAGACUUUCCGUUCUCUCUGCAGUAGUCUUUGUUUAACCUUUUGAAAAGAAAAGGAAGAAAGAGAAGAGUCUGGCCGAAACACGCCAUGGACUAGUUUGGUCAUUAGCUCCUGCAGCAUCCGGAAACCCCCAUGACAUGGUGACGACAUGGUGUUAAUCUUGUCCCAUCACCUUUUUAUAUGCAAACAUUUUGGGUGCACGCAUACCUUACCAAUUACUUUCCAUAUAAUCAUUAUGCCUGAGAUUAUGCACAUAUACGGAAAAAAAAAAUCAGACAAGAUUGAGCCGCCACAUCUUUACGGAAUAAAUUCUAAAAUGUAGAGGGAUUUCAAACUGAAUCAGAACAUGAACCAACAUAGUCCCGACAAGCCUCUCAAGGUGAUAGGACUACUUUGACCAAGUAACUUUUGAGUUGGAUAAAAGUAGAAACAAAUAAAUGAAGAUCCUUGUGAAGCAAAUUCUAAACUUAGUUUGGUCUUCUUCUUAAUCAAGGGGACUAGUCUAGUUGGUAAAAUUAUUGGGUUCUUGUUUGCGAUGAUUCUGAGUGGCUGGAUAGCAAUAACCCCUUCCAUAUCUCAUAAAAAAUAGAAAAGAAAAGAUGAGUCUUGGGCAAUAAAGGGCCUGUUUGAAUGGCACUAAGUGAGCAUUCAACUUUUCUAGAGCAACUAAGCUUUUGAGAAUAAUCGUAUUAUAUUAGCAAUAUGUACAGUCUCUAUCAUAUGGACCCAUCUUUAAUAUUUUUUUGGAUGAUUGCAUCAUUAAACAAGAACCCUUCCAUGGAUCUAUGAAUGCUUAAAUGCAUCUCAUGCGAUCUCUAUCGUAAGAGACUCAUCUUUAUUUUUUUGGGAUAAGUAAAUCAUUAAACAAGUUCCUUGCAUGGAUCUGCAGAUACUUAAAAUGCAACUCAUGCCGAUAUAAUAUCCUAUUUGAUUAGCAUUAAUCAUGGAAUACAUGCACAUGCAACAUCUCCAUAUAUUGUGUAGCCAUACACGAGCCCCUGCAGGCAGGGAAAGAAGUCCAAAGUAACCCAAGCUACCACCUAAGACCACCUAGCAAAAUGGUGCAUGGAUGCCACUUAAAUUAACAUACGAGUCAUGGCAAUUGCACUCACUUAAAAAAAAAGAGAAGAAAUCAGUAAUUCUACAGCAGGCAGCUCAAAAAUGGUAAUUGCUCUCACCUUCAGUAACCACAUAUGCAUUAAAUAAAAAGACUUUCAUUGAGGAUGCAUUUGGACCCUAAACCAAAAACUUACAUUGCAGAAUGGACAUUAUAUUUCUAUCAUAUAGAUACCUGUUUCCCAUAUAAAAUGUGCGAUAAAAUGAGGAAGAUAGUGGGCACAAUUGCAACUCCUUUCAAUCAGCAAAUAAAUCCAAGGAAUUGGUCGACAAAAGACCACAUCAUUUGUAUAACAAAUAUCCCGUCAGUGCCGAUGAGAAUCUAGGGCUUCUCUGUUGAACUGCAUUCGACAUCUAAUUUUAAAAAGGGAAGGUUGCAUUUAAAAACUAAAGAGGUAACUGAGCAUUCUUAUGCUCUUCAGAGAAUGAAUGCGUAUGAAUGUGAACAAUGAGAGAGACGCAUUUGUAUCUUUGAAACCCAUUUUAAGGGGCAUUGGGCGAGAAAUCGUCCAUAGAUAAUCGAACUAUCAUACGCCUUGGAAAUGAUAUGAGGUGUUCGGAAAUGGUUGAAGUAGUUGAAUAGGAGGAUCACUAUGACUAUAGCCCAUGGUAGAUUUACCAAAGAAGAAAAUGAUUUAUUUGAUAUCCAUCA